rnacentral:tRNA from 1 species
GGGGUAUAGCUUAGUGGUAGAGCGCUUGCCUAGUAUGUGAAGGCCUGAGGUUCAAUCCCCAAGUACCUACCU